ACACGUAAAAAGUGAAAAAAAAAAAGGAAAAGUAGGGCCAGAGGCACAUCUACAUUUACUUCUUCAUUGAGAAAUUGAUUAGGCCUCGUGUCCCGCCCAUCACCGCUGGUGGACAGGUGAAAGAGCAGAAAGUAUCAAGAUAUGGUUCAGGGAGAAAACAUUGCAGACACUCAGCCACAGACUCAGGAGUUUGUUGAGGAGCGAUAAGUUUGUUGUGCACCAAAGUCGGCUACUAAAAGACGUAUCAUGAUGAGACAAAUGAAGGAGCUGAGGGCAAUGGAAAGAACAUGCACGCUGCCAGUCAAAGUUCCGUCGCAUGACCACAGGUGGAGCUUCAGGAUUCACGGCUGAUUGCGGGGUUGUGGCCGACAGACAGGGAGAGGUUA